GGGAAUAUUGCGCAAUGGAGGAAACUCUGACGCAGUGACGCCGCGUAUAGGAAGAAGGUUUUCGGAUUGUAAACUAUUGUCGUGAGGGAAGAAAUUGACAGUACCUCAGGAGGAAGCUCCGGCUAACUAUGUGCCAGCAGCCGCGGUAAUACAUAGGGAGCAAGCGUUAUCCGGAUUUAUUGGGUUUAAAGGGUGCGUAGGCGGGCUUUUAAGUCAGCGGUAAAAAUUCGGGGCUCAACCCCGUCCGGCCGUUGAAACUGGGGGCCUUGAGUGGGCGAGAAGAAGGCGGAAUGCGUGGUGUAGCGGUGAAAUGCAUAGAUAUCACGCAGAACCCCGAUUGCGAAGGCAGCCUUCCGGCGCCCUACUGACGCUGAGGCACGAAAGUGCGGGGAUCGAACAGG
rnacentral:rRNA from 1 species